GUUAAUUAUUUUAGCUAGUAUAUUAGUUGAUUUUCUAGGUUUCUCUAAGUAUAACAUUUUAUCAAAUCCAGAGAGUGACAAUUUUGUUUCCUCAUUGCCUAUUCUUAAUCCCUCAAUUUCUUCUUGUUGUUUUAUUGCUAUAGUUAGCAUUUCUAGAACAAUAUUGAAUAAUUGUGGUAAUAAUGGACAUCCUUGCUUCACCCGCGAUCUUACUGAGGAUUGUAGUUUAUCCUCAUUAUAGAAGACUCACACUCUUGAUCAGACUCAUCCUAAUGAAAUCAGCGACAAUGGUAACAGUUUUCCCCACUAACCAUCACAGUCAUUACCUAUUCUAACAGAAUGCAAUGCAGCUUGAAAGAAUUGCUAAAAAAUAAAUGAGAGAAUGAAGUUCAAUUAAAUGAUGAGACUAUUGAAGUCUGAGGCCACUUUGAAAGACUUCAGAACUCUAAAAAUGCAAUAGCCAAUGAUGACUCCAAAGCAUCAAAGAUGAAGACAAAAUCCCCAUUCCAACAGAAAGGUUAAAGAUAUAAAAUUCCAAAUGUAUCUUACAUUUUGGGACAUGACCAACAUAAAGCUUUUUGCUCAUAUUUUUUGAUUGAUAUGGUUUUCUUUUUUUUUUAAAUUAUUUAGUUGGGGUAGAAGGGGUGGGAGAGAAAAUAAAUUGUUAAUCAGGAUGAUUAUACA
rnacentral:lncRNA from 1 species